rnacentral:rRNA from 1 species
AUUGAACGCUGGCGGCAGGCCUAACACAUGCAAGUCGAGCGGAUGAAGGGAGCUUGCUCCUGGAUUCAGCGGCGGACGGGUGAGUAAUGCCUAGGAAUCUGCCUGGUAGUGGGGGAUAACGUCCGGAAACGGGCGCUAAUACCGCAUACGUCCUGAGGGAGAAAGUGGGGGAUCUUCGGACAUCACGCUAUCAGAUGAGCCUAGGUCGGAUUAGCUAGUUGGUGGGGUAAAGGCCUACCAAGGCGACGAUCCGUAACUGAUCUGAGAGGAUGAUCAGUCACACUGGAACUGAGACACGGUCCAGACUCCUACGGGAGGCAGCAGUGGGGAAUAUUGGACAAUGGGCGAAAGCCUGAUCCAGCCAUGCCGCGUGUGUGAAGAAGGUCUUCGGAUUGUAAAGCACUUUAAGUUGGGAGGAAGGGCAGUAAGUUAAUACCUUGCUGUUUUGACGUUACCAACAGAAUAAGCACCGGCUAACUUCGUG